rnacentral:rRNA from 1 species
AUUGAACGCUGGCGGCAGGCCUAACACAUGCAAGUCGAACGAGUGGCGGACGGGUGAGUAAUGUCUGGGAAACUGCCUGAUGGAGGGGGAUAACUACUGGAAACGGUAGCUAAUACCGCAUACCAUCGGAUGUGCCCAGAUGGGAUUAGCUUGUAGGUGGGGUAACGGCUCACCUAGGCGACGAUCCCUAGCUGGUCUGAGAGGAUGAUCAGCCACACUGGGACUGAGACACGGCCCAGACUCCUACGGGAGGCAGCAGUGGGGAAUAUUGCACAAUGGGCGCAAGCCUGAUGCAGCCAUGCCGCGUGUAUGAAGAAGGCCUUCGGGUUGUAAAGUACUUUCAGUGGGGAGGCGUUACCCGCAGAAGAAGCACCGGCUAACUCCGUGCCAGCAGCCGCGGUAAUUC